rnacentral:rRNA from 1 species
GAUGAACGCUGGCGGCGUGCCUAAUACAUGCAAGUCGAACGAACAGAUAGGAAGAUUGUUCUCUUGACGGUAGCGGCGGGCGGGCGAGUAACGCAUGGAUCACCUACUUAUAAGUCGGGGAUAACUUCGGGAAGACAGCUAUAAUAGCAUAUCAUAUGAUGUACCGUGAGAUUCACUAGAGAAAGGCAAUUUUGCCGUUACUAGUAGAAGAUGCCGCGUCGCAUUAGCUAGUUGGUGAGGUGACGGCCUACCAAGGCAACGCACCGUAGCCGACCUGAGAGGGUGAUCGGCCACACUGGAACUGAGACACGGUCCAGACUCCUACGGGAGGCAGCAGUGGGGAAUCUUGGACAAUGGGCGAAAGCCUGACGCAGCAACGCCGCGUGGGUGAGGAAGGUCUUCGGGUCGUAAAGCCCUUUUGUUGGGAAAGAACAGCUGUAGAGUUAAAUAUUCACGUUUUGACGGUACCUAAUCAGAAAGCCCCGGCUAACUACGUG